rnacentral:rRNA from 1 species
GGCCUACCAUGGUGGUAACGGGUAACGGGGUGUUAGGGCACGACACCGGAGAGGGAGCCUGAGAAACGGCUACCACAUCCAAGGAUGGCAGCAGGCGCGCAAAUUACCCAAUCCCGACACGGGGAGGUAGUGACAAUAAAUAACAAUACGGGGCUCUUUCGGGUCUCGUAAUUGGAAUGAGUACAAUUUAAAUCUCUUAACGAGGAACAAUUGGAGGGCAAGUCUGGUGCCAGCAGCCGCGGUAAUUCCAGCUCCAAUAGCGUAUAUUAAAGUUGUUGCAGUUAAAAAGCUCGUAGUUGAAUUUCGGGGUCAGCAGGUUGGUCGUGCCACUGGUAUGCACUGGCUUCGCUGAUUCCUCCUUUCUGAAGAACUGUUAUGCCAUUAAUUUGGUGUUGCAGGGAAACAGGACUGUUACUUUGAAAAAAUUAGAGUGUUUAAAGCAGGCUAACGCUUGAAUACAUUAGCAUGGAAUAAUGAAAUAGGACGUUUGAUCCUAUUUUGUUGGUUUCUAGGAUUGACGUAAUGAUUAAUAGGGAUAGUUGGGGGCAUUAGUAUUCAAUUGUCAGAGGUGAAAUUCUUGGAUUUAUUGAAGACUGACUACUGCGAAAGCAUUUGCCAAGGAUGUUUUCAUUAAUCAAGAACGAAAGUUAGGGGAUCGAAGACGAUCAGAUACCGUCGUAGUCUUAACCAUAAACUAUGCCGACUAGGGAUCGGAUGAUGUUAAUUUUUUUAAUGACUCAUUCGGCGCCUUACG